GCCACACCCACACAUUGUGGAAAGUAAUCUUAAACUUUUAAUAGUGGUCAUAUCAUACUUAAUUAAAAGGGAUUUGUCUUUAAAAUGUGACUAUUUGUGACAUCAAUAAGAUAAAACUCCUAAGUGCAGGAAACUGACAAAGUACUACACAACUAUAACUAUAAAAGUUGAAACGAUAAAUUCCUUUAAAAGGGACACAAAAUAGAGCAAUGUAAAAAGAAAUUAGAGAACUUCUAGCUGAGCAUAAUAUCAUUUAUUAAAGCACACUAUGUAGGCACCAUGGCAGCAAUGAUUCUUUAUUUACGAAAAUCAAAGAUUUACAUCAGAGUAUGUUCUCCUAAACAUACUACUUUCUUUCCCACCUCUGAGAUUUUGAAUACUCUCUUUAUUCCCUUUUCUAAGAAUAUCCCUCUAAUUCAUCCUUUAAAAUACAACUCUUCUAAGGUUUCCCUGAUCUCCCGACAGAGUCCCACUUUCUGCACCUUAUGCAAAUAUCUACUGUUUCACUUAUUAUCUACAGAAAGCUAUUUUUACUUACAUAUUAAUCAGGUAUGUCAUAUCUUUGUAUAAAGAAUUUAUGCAUUUAGUUAUAAAGAAAAGAUAGAAUCUGCAUAAGGUAAUGCAAACAAACUUUGACACUAAAAGGAGCAGUUCAAACGAUUGUCAUUCAGAGUUUAUCUACAGUCCUUCAUCCUUUUAAAUUAACUGAUGAGAUUCAAAAAUAUGACACUGAUUUCUUGCAAAACUAAUCAUGAUUUAAUAUGUUUCAAAGGCAUGUAGAAAGAGGAAGAAUUCUAUCUAAUAAUAUAACUUUAUAAUAACUAGAACCUCAGUCACAAAUCACUGAUUAUAAAACUCUCAAAAUUCCAUUUCAAAGGAAGAUAUACAGAGUUACAACUGGAUCUCUUAAAAGAGAAAACAAGUUUUCAAUAUCAAUUAUAAAUUAGAGACCCCACUUUGUCAGCUUCCUUUGUAGCAAAAAAUGCUAGUUGUUCUCUAAUAUCCUUUUCUCUGCUUUUCUGUAGUUUUCUAAUUUUAGCUGAGCACAUGUUUGUCAGACCAGAUACUAUGUUUUCCAGUUAAGUAUGUUCCAAUGAUUAAAUUCUCAUCUCUAAGACAUGAAUCAACACGAUGCAUACCACAUCCAGAUGAUGCUCUCAAAAGAAUGAGUGUGCAGAGUCCCCUGCUUGGCUGCAGUGGGUUAAGAAGCUGACUGCAGUGACCUGGGUCUCUGCAGAGGUUCAGGUUCAAUCCCCGGCCCAGUGCAGUGGGUUAAAGGAUCCUGUGUUGCCGUAGCUGCAGCAUAGGUUGCAACUGCGGCUUAGAUCUGAUCCUUGGCCCAAGGAACUCCAUAUGCCCCAGGACAGGUCCCUCUCCCCAAAAAAAGAAGAAAAGAAAAAGAAAAAAAAUGAGUGUGCACUCCUACUGUCCUUUCUCCCUUGACCGAAAGCAGCCGUGUUCAACCUAGAAACAUGUUCAAUACAUGGAAACCAUACUAUGGAAAAUUACUUACAAACCUCAGUUUUCCUCUGUGGUAUUAUGUAAGAGUUAACGUUUAUCAGAUUUCCCGUCAUGGCACAGUGGAAACAAAUUUGACUAGUAUCCAUGAGGAUGCAGGUUCGAUACCUGGCCUUGAUUAGUGGGCUGGGUGUCCGGCACUGCUGUGAGCUGUGAUGUAGGCCAGAAGCUGUAGCUCCAAUUUGAUCCCUAGCCUGGGAACAUCCAUAAGCUGCAGGAGCUGAUUAGAUUACAUGAAGGCUAACUUGCUCUAAGAAACUUUUGUUUCUUUUAAGGAUGAUUAACAUAUUUUUGGUAGGUGGAAAAUAAGCAGAAUAACUGAGCGAGGCCAGGGAUUGAACCUGUUUCCUCAUGGAUACCAGUCAGAUUCGUUUCUGCUUAGGCACAACAGGAACUCCAGCUUUUUCUACUUCUGAUAUAUUGUGAUACUUGUUUUUUUCAGAUUGUAAUAGAUAAGCAGCAGCAAAUUAGGGACAGGAGAAAUGCUAAUAGGAAAAUGCAUACAGAUAGGGAUAAGAAGUGAUGGCUGGCAUCUUGAUAGUGAAGUGGAGUCAGAGUUCAAGUGUUGGAAUAAGAACAUAAAAACUUAAUUUUCAGGUUAUUUAAUUUCAGAAUCAUUAUUCCUAGAAUAGGAUCAGUAUUUAUAGCAUGUCUGUUAUGGUUA
rnacentral:lncRNA from 1 species